AGUAGGCAGGAGGGGUUGCCUGGUGAAGAGCAGGCAGGGAGGAGGCUCACAGGGGAGAGACGUUGACCUUCUAGCUCUAGGCUGAGUUUUAGGUUUAGUGUCAGCACUUGGGGCUCCAGCUAGCUCCAGCUGGGAUUCUAAGGGGCAAGUGCAGGUGAGUGGGAACAGCCGAGCCUGCGGGGCAUCUCCUCUGAAGCCCUCUGGGGAGUUGGAGCCGUCACACCUGGUCCCUUUCAACCCAGGCCUAGCAGACAAUGCAGAAGAGCCAAGAAGCCGAGUCCGGCACCUUGAUCUCUCUGAGCCUCCUGUUGGGGGAGGACCCAGAACACCUGUCCCAGCAACUGCGGGCUACCAGUCUACGGGACAGGGAGCCACUUGGCUCUCCCGGCCUCUCCAAGGUGGGCUCAGAGUACCUGCCCUUCUGCACAUAUGAGCAGCCCCUGGCUGUGGAGGAGCUGGCCCAGCUGGCUGAAACCGGCCCAGGGCACGAAGCUGGCUGGAGCAGCCAAGGGAGCCUGUUCCUCGAGGACUCAGCGCCACCCAGUGGCUUCUUCCCGUACUACCGUUCCCAGGAAGAGCACCUCGCCAGUGCCACCACCACCCCUCAAGGCUGCAGCUGGUGUCUGGGCUCCAGAGACCCCUUUCCGGGAAGUGAGACACAAGAUGGCUGCCACAAAGUCACAGCCAGAGAUGGAUGCCUUUCUCUCUUGGCAGGGCCAGACCUAAUCUCUGGGUUUCCACCCUCACCAGUCUGCUGCUGCUGCUUGCGAGGGCACCAUGCUCAUGAGGCCUCAGGAUUUGUACCAUACUACAGGAGCCCCGAAGAGAGGCUACGGGCCAGCCCUGUGGUUUCCUCCUCUGUGCUGGGGAGUUCAUGGGAGUGACCCCCCCAACCUGGUGCUGCCAGCCUGGGAAGGCGCAGGAGUGAAGGCAGUGGGGACUUCUGGGGAGUCAUACUCCAGUGCCUCCUGAUCAUCGAGGGACAAGGGGAACUGGAACAGAGGCCCCCCACAGCUCAGGCCACCUGCCCUGGGACCCCAGCUGGCCUAAUCUCCCAGCUUGUUCCCACUUGUGUCCAUCAACUGAGGAGAAAGUCGGAGAGGAGUCAGGCAGUCCUUGGCCCUCAGAACCUGGUACAGAAGAAAACACAGGAGCUCCAGCACCGUGCACUGGCGUUUUGGGUGUGACGCAGUUGGCAUGCUAAUUCUGUUUUAUCGAUGAUAAAGAAGCUGAGGCAGAGAAACCCGGGCAUUUAUGCAGCGGGGUGGGGAUUGUGGGCCUUCAGGAAAGUCACUUCCCUUCUUGAGUCCUGGCCUGAAGGAGCAUUUGGGGCUUGGAGUGGAGCCGCCCACGAGUCUCACAAUCAUCACCACUGAGUGACAUUAGCGAAUUUAUUUGACCUCCCGCCUGAAAGCCUGGUGUAGCCUGGCAGAGCUGACUGCCCACCCGCAAGAUGGGAGCCUGGUUACUUACAAGCUGCAAGUGAUCCUGAAGUAAGGUUUGUUGUUUGUUUUUGUUUUUUGUUUUUCCUCCAGUCUACAACUCCCAAGAAGACUCUCAGUGGCUCCUCUGGCACUCUCAGAGAGUCCUCCCUGGCCCCCGCAGCCUCGCUGGCAUCCUCAGACUUCUUGCUGGACCUUUUUAAUGCAGACCCCAGCUCCUUACCAGCCCGUGGCAGGAAACCCCUCCAUUCUGGCAACCUCGCUGUCCUGGAGGCCCCGAGUGCUGUGCAGCAGCGCCCCCUCCUGGCGCAUCUUGUCAGGACAGCUGGCUUCCCUGAGAUCUACAGUUUGAUUGUUCAGACACUGCCUAAGAAGGCACCACACCUACCUUACUUAUAAAGAGCGACACCACCAGCCACCAGCUGCAGCAGCCUCUCAACCCUGGUGCAGCGACCUGGCAGCCAGAGUCCUCAAACGGCCAAUCCACCCUCACUCCCCAGCCACAUGCUAUCACGCAGCUCCCGAAGUCUCACCGGGUGGACGACAGACUGAAAAUCAUCUGAGCAUUCUCUGGGCAGAGCCCAGGGAACUGUCUUUGCGGAAGGAACCCUGUUCCCAAUGACAAGCUCACAGAGCAAACCUGAAGUCAGUGUGGCCCUUUUCUCCCUCCAGUUACCUCCCACAGCCUGCACAAGAACAAUACAGGCCCAAAGCACAUGUGGGGCCUGUCACAGGCAUCAGUCAAAUGUCUUUCUGUUGGUGGGGGAAGGGGUCUAGUGAUCAGCACAAAAGCCUGGAGGCUGAAAAGAAGCCAGGAUUCUGUGGGACUCUGGGAAAGGCGCCUGGGGACCUCCUUAGCUCUGCCAUGAUUAGGACUCCCUCUGACAUAAAGUGGCUGGCCCUUUA
rnacentral:lncRNA from 1 species